rnacentral:tRNA from 4 species
GCCCAGGUAGCUCAGUUGGUAGAGCAGUGGAUUGAAAAUCCUCGUGUCGGUGGUUCGAUUCCGCCCCUGGGCACCA